rnacentral:rRNA from 1 species
UACCAGCACCCCGAGUGGUCGGGACGAUUAUUGGGCCUAAAGCAUCCGUAGCCGGCCUUACAAGUCCCCCGUUAAAUCCAACUGCUUAACAGAUGGGCUGCGGAGGAUACUAUAAGACUAGGAGGCAGGAGAGGCAAGCGGUACUCAGUGGGUAGGGGUAAAAUCCGUUGAUCCAUUGAAGACCACCAGUGGCGAAGGCGGCUUGCCAGAAUGCGCUCGACGGUGAGGGAUGAAAGCUGGGGAGCAACCGGAUU